rnacentral:sRNA from 1 species
GCCGGGCUCGGUGGUGCACGCCUGUCAUCCCAGCAGCUCAGGAGGCUGAGGCAGGAGGAUCGCAGGUUCAAUGUCAGCCUCAGCAACAUGGAGGCCCUGAGCAACUUAGCGAGACCCUGUCUCUA